UUUGGAUACAGUAUCCCAUAUUAUCUUAUUUUCAAAAUAUUUGUUCUCACACAAUUGUUUUUAAGUUCUACAUAAACUAUGGAUAUUUUGUGAGUCUAUUUUGUUCACAUGGAAACAUACAGUUAAAAAUUAAUACUUAUAUAUAUAUAUAUAUUUAUACUGAAUAUUGAUGAGCACUAUUCAAUGGUUGAUUUGGUUGAUUGUGUCUAAACUAUUUAAAAAGUUGACCUAUUUGAUAGUUUUCAUUUAGUUACGGAAUCUAGUUGCAGAAACCAUCGGAUCAAAAUUUAAAAAACAAGACAAAUUACAGUUAAAAAGAUAUUUCUAAAAGCGCCUAGCCAUAUCAAAAUAUUUAAAAAUAUGUACCCGGAUUUAAGCCUUCUUGCACAACCAAUUAUAACUAGAUAGGGCACUUGGUUAAAUGCCAUUAAUAAUUAUUGCCAAAAUUUCCAAGAAAUUAAAAAUGUUGUUGCCAAACUCAAUCCCACUACUUCUAUGUUUCUAGAAAAAAAAUUAAAUUCUUUUAAAAAAUAAAUUAGUAUACAUUUCUGUUAAUUAUUUUUUGGUGGUUAUCAUUAUAAAAUUAGAAACUCAUAAAUUAACUUUAGUUUAAACUUAAGUUUAAAUAUUGUAGAGGAAACAGUAAAAACUUGAAAAAGUAUAAGGAAAAAUUGGCAAAAUUAUAAAUGACAAAGUUAAAAAUAUUCUAAAACAAAUUCUUGCCUAACACAAAUGAAAGCUAUUAAAAAUAUUCUGAUUAAUCUUUCUUUUGAAGUUUCAUUGGAUGUACAACUUACUCUUUCAGAUAUAGUCAAAAUUCAAUAUUGUCUAUAAUGUCAGUCGUAGUGGAACAAUCAUUUAGUCCGUAUAAAGCAAUUUGCAACCAAAUCAAUGAUCCUUAGAAUUUGAAAAUUUAAAAAUGCAUAUUCUCUUAAAUUGUAAUCAAGAUAAAUAAUAAUUUUUUUUUUUAACUUAUUACUUAUAGUAUUAUUUUUUAACAAUUGCAUUAUUUAGAUAAUAAUUUGUUUCAUAGGGAACUCAUAAGAUCAUAUAUAAUUAUUUAUUAAUAAAUAGAUAAUAUUAGUAAAAUCCAUAUUUUGAGUUUUUUAGAACAUAUUUAUGUAC